rnacentral:SRP_RNA from 1 species
AUGGCAAAUCGGUACGACCAGCUCCUACCGAACUCCCCCAGGUCUGGAAGGAAGCAAGGGUAGGUAGUUGUAGCGGUGCGAUACUUGAUUUGCCAUUUU